rnacentral:lncRNA from 1 species
CCCUAAUGUACUAAAUUGUUUGGGAGAUUCUCCUGAAUCUUCCAUCCUUCAUGAUUGGGCUAAUGCAUGAUGCUGCGAACCGAUCGAGUGUGUCCUUAUCUUAUGGCAUAGUUCUGACUUUGGUCUUCUAGGAGCAUAAGAUAGAUCUUGAAGGAGAGACGAUCAAGGAGCUGAUGCAUACAGACAUAUAUAAUAACCAGUCACUUAAAAGAACGUGCUUUCAAAAAAUUGACGGUCAUUGGAUUCCUGAGGGA